rnacentral:ncRNA from 12 species
UGUGGCGCAAUGGCAGCGCGUCUGAUCUCCAACCAGGCAGCUGCGGGUUUGAGUCCCGCUU